rnacentral:rRNA from 1 species
AGAGCGAACGCUGGCGGCAGGCUUAACACAUGCAAGUCGAGCGCCCCGCAAGGGGAGCGGCAGACGGGUGAGUAACACGUGGGAACGUGCCUUUUGGUUCGGAACAACCCAGGGAAACUUGGGCUAAUACCGGAUAAGCCCUUACGGGGAAAGAUUUAUCGCCAAAAGAUCGGCCCGCGUCUGAUUAGCUAGUUGGUGGGGUAAUGGCCCACCAAGGCUACGAUCAGUAGCUGGUCUGAGAGGAUGAUCAGCCACAUUGGGACUGAGACACGGCCCAAACUCCUACGGGAGGCAGCAGUGGGGAAUAUUGGACAAUGGGGGCAACCCUGAUCCAGCCAUGCCGCGUGAGUGAUGAAGGCCUUAGGGUUGUAAAGCUCUUUUAGCAGGGAAGAUAAUGACGGUACCUGCAGAAAAAGCCCCGGCUAACUUCGUGCCAGCAGCCGC